CUGAAGAGUCCAGACUGCAGACUGCAGACCCUCAGGAUCAGAGAGGAUGAGACGUUCAGAGCCAAGAUCCAGAAGAGCUGUGACAGGAAGUGAAGACACACAGAGAGGAACUCUGAGUCCUGUGGCAGGAAGCGGUCCUUCUCUCCAAGAACUCCUGGAGCCAGGCCUGCAAGCUGGUCCAGAACCAGAGUCCAACCGGUCGACCUCGUAAAGUUAAACUAAACUACACAAUUAUUAAAGAUCAUGUUUAAAGUUAAAAAUGGAUGCUUUCAGACUGCAGGGUUUCCCACACAUAGACUCUACUUGUAUACAGGUAUAUUAACGGCCGCCAAAGUAUAUUUCGCGACCCAUUUAAUUUUUUUCUGUCCUUAAGCACGACGCCAUCUGCAAUCGAUGAACUAGUGGACAAUGAUCCCUCGCUCUACGCCUCCUGUACCUGUUCGCUCUGUGUUGGGAAAAUACUGAAUGUUCCUUCUGUAUUAGAGUAGCACAUGAUAACAGAGGCCCUACGUAGCUGUGUACGUAGCCGGAUGUCUGACUACAUGGAUGACGCUCAUGAGACACUGUGUUGAAGUUAUGAUAGCUAUGUUCCUCAGAUUGGCAUGAUGUCACAGCCCCUAGAGAGAUAGACAUAUGACUGUCAUGUUUAUUGCUUAUGCAGGCCUUAGCUAAUCUGAACUAAUGUCAGAAUACUGCUUUGAACCAGUGUUCUUCCAUCUUGUUGACUGUCACUCCCUCUUGUAUAUACCCUUACGCAAAGAAAAUAUAUUUCCCCAUAUAUUAACUGUCAAUAUAUUGCCUUAUUUUGUUUUCUGAUUU